rnacentral:rRNA from 1 species
UACAGAGGUGGCAAGCGUUGUUUGGAAUUACUGGGCGUAAAGGGCGCGUAGGCGGCCUUCUAAGUCAGACGUGAAAUCCCCCGGCUUAACCUGGGAACUGCGUCUGAUACUGGGAGGCUUGAGUAUGGGAGAGGGAUGUAGAAUUCCAGGUGUAGCGGUGAAAUGCGUAGAUAUCUGGAGGAAUACCGGUGGCGAAGGCGGCAUCCUGGACCAUAACUGACGCUGAGGCGCGAAAGCUAGGGGAGCAAACGGG